rnacentral:rRNA from 1 species
AUUGAACGCUGGCGGCAUGCCUUACACAUGCAAGUCGAACGGCAGCACGGGAGCAAUCCUGGUGGCGAGUGGCGAACGGGUGAGUAAUAUAUCGGAACGUGCCCAGUCGUGGGGGAUAACGUAGCGAAAGCUACGCUAAUACCGCAUACGAUCUAUGGAUGAAAGCGGGGGAUCGCAAGACCUCGCGCGAUUGGAGCGGCCGAUAUCAGAUUAGGUAGUUGGUGAGGUAAAGGCUCACCAAGCCGACGAUCUGUAGCUGGUCUGAGAGGACGACCAGCCACACUGGGACUGAGACACGGCCCAGACUCCUACGGGAGGCAGCAGUGGGGGAAUUUUUGGACAAUGGGCGCAAGCCUGAUCCAGCAAUGCCGCGUGCAGGAUGAAGGCCUCGGUUGGUUAACGUUAG